GAUGAACGCUGGCGGCGUGCCUAACACAUGCAAGUCGAACGGGAACCCUUGGAUUCGUCUGGGGGGGAGAGUGGCGAACGGGUGAGUAACACGUAGGUGACCUGCCCCAAAGAGGAGAAUAACCACUGGAAACGGUGGCUAAUACUCCAUGUGCUCGGCGAUUCGAUUCACCGAGUAAAGCUCCGGCGCUUUGGGAGGGGCCUGCGGCCCAUCAGGUAGUUGGUAGGGUAAUGGCCUACCAAGCCUAUGACGGUAGGGGCGUGAGAGCGUGAUCCCCCACACUGGCACUGAGACACGGGCCAGACUCCUACGGGAGGCAGCAGUGAGGAAUAUUGCCCAAUGGACGCAAGUCUGAGGCAGCAACGCCGCGUGAGCGAUGAAGGCCUUCGGGUUGUAAAGCUCUUUUCUGGGGGAAGAGGAAGGACGGUACCUCAGGAAUAAGUCACGGCUAACUACGUG
rnacentral:rRNA from 1 species